rnacentral:rRNA from 1 species
CGAAAGGCCCUUCGGGUACUCGAGUGGCGAACGGGUGAGUAACACGUGGGUGAUCUGCCUGCACUUUGGAUAAGCCUGGGAAAUGGGUCUAAUACCGAAUAGACCGCAUGCUUCAUGGUGUGUGGUGGAAGCUUUGCGGUGUGGGAUGGGCCGCGGCCUAUCAGCUUGUUGGUGAGGUAAUGGCUUACCAAGGACGACGGGUAGCCGGCCUGAGAGGGUGACCGGCCACACUGGGACUGAGAUACGGCCCAGACUCCUACGGAGGCAGCAGUGGGAAUAUUGCACAAUGGCGCAAGCCUGAUGCAGCGACGCCGCGUGAGGAUGACGGCCUUCGGGUUGUAAACCUCUUCGCCAGGGACGAAGCGCAAGUGACGGUCCUGGAGAAGAAGGACCGGCCAACUACGUGCCAGCAGCCGCGGUAAUACGUAGGUCCGAGCGUUGUCCGGAAUUACUGGGCGUAAAGAGCUCGUAGGUGGUUCGCGUUGUUCGUGAAAACUCACAGCUUAACUGUGGGCGUGCGGGCGAUACGGGCAGACUUGGUACUGCAGGGGAGACUGGAAUUCCUGGUGUAGCGGUGGAAUGCGCAGAUAUCAGGAGGAACACCGGUGGCGAAGGCGGGUCUCUGGGCAGUAACUGA